rnacentral:lncRNA from 1 species
GCCAGUCACUUUACAACCGUGGAACACAAAUAAUACUUCUCUUGGAGAAGUUUUUCAUUCCCAAGGCCGUCUCCCUGAGACCCGAGAGUUCAGAGGCAUCGCAGGGUGUUGCUGAGUUGUGUUUCUUAAGCCCGCAGAGCCCCACUUCACGUUCACUCGCUCCCAAAGCGCUCCAACGUGCGCUGAUCUCGUACUGACUUCCAGCAUCCUCUGCCCGGACCGCAGCCGCUUUACCACGUCUUACGUUCCCUUCUGAUCAACCCAGUUACACUGGCUCCUGGGACCUGGGCUGGGUUCCCCCCUGCCCCCUGCCCUCGGCAGGACCGCUGAUCGCCUCACGCUCCGUGGAACCCGAAACAAACACAAGACAAACCAGAAACACCUCCCCCGAACGCAGACCAUAUUCCGGCGUUCCCUUGAAGCAGGAAGAUGUGCCUGUUUUCAGGUAGAUUUUAGGAGAGUCCUGGUAAACGGGAGACAUAGCCUUUCCGAAGCAUCAUUUUCCUGUUGCGUAGACGUGCAGGGUGACUCGGGGAUAAAUAUUUCAGCUCUUCGUCAUGGUCACUGUUUUUCUCUCCUGCUUAUCACGAGACAUUCUUUAAAGGCUGAAAUUACAGUCACCUUUGCUGAAAAGCAGGAUUCCCCAGCAGGUGAUAGGCAUCAGAAUGAUCUCCAAAUCGCGGAAAAAGCCGCUCCCAGGAAUGUUUCCAGUUCUUUGGUUACGCCGCCUCCGCUUACCCUCCCUCUGGUAACUGUGUCUCGUUGCCCUGCUGCAGAGCGGCCAUCCUCCCCCAAUCCCAGUUCACGGGAUCUGAGCAAAGCUUAUCAUCCGCCCCUCCUUUUUGUAAAGGCUGAGCACGUGACUGGGACUUCACACGCUCCUUGCCCACAGGGGUUGGCCGUGGGACAUAGGUGCUGCCCAGCCGGAGCCUGUGAUACAGGGAUUCUGUUCUGCUGGAAGUGCGAGCUUGAAGGGGAUGUACCAUCUAGCGUCGCUGGCAGCCAUUUUGUUGCUAUGAGGGAAGAGCCUGCGAAGAGAACCAACAAUAAGACAGAGAGAGAGAGAGAGAGAGAAAUAGGCUUUGUUGAUGUUCUGUAAGGUCCUCAUCCAGUCUUCCCGGCCAGACUUGCCCUUCCAUUUUUCAGUCACGUGAUCCAAUACUCUUUUCUUAGCCAGAUCAAGGUCCUCGUCACUUACCACCAAAGACAUUGCAACUUAUACAAAAGGGAAGGGAACGGAAAACACCUGCUGGGUGGGAAGCCCCUCGGAGGAGCCACCAGCUUCAUCCUGGCUAAUGAUAUUUCCCAGGGCGCCCGGGUGGCUCAGUCGGUUAAGCGUCCGACUUCGGCUCAGGUCGCGAGCUCACAGCUCGUGGGUUCGAGCCCCGCAUCUUGCUCUGUGCUAACAGCUGGGAGCCUGGAGCCUGCUUCGGAUUCUGUGUCUCCCUCUCUCUCUCUGCCCCUCCCCUGCUCCCACUCUGUGUGUGUGUGUGUCUGUCCGUCUCAAAAAUAAAUUUAAAAGAAUGAUAUUUCCA